ACUCUUCAAGGUGCUGCAUGGUUGUCGUCAGCUCGUGCCGUGAGGUGUCGGGUUAAGUCCCAUAACGAGCGCAACCCUUACCGUUAGUUACCAUCAGGUUAAGCUGGGGACUCUAGCGGGACUGCCACCGUAAGGUGAGAGGAAGGUGGGGAUGACGUCAAAUCAGCACGGCCCUUAUGUCCAGGGCUACACACGUGUUACAAUGGCCAGUACAAAGGGCAGCUACCGGGUGACCGGAUGCUAAUCUCUAAAGCUGGUCUCAGUUCGGAUCGAAGUCUGCAACCCGACUUCGUGAAGCUGGAUUCGCUAGUAAUCGCGCAUCAGCCAUGGCGCGGUGAAUACGUUCCCGGGCCUU
rnacentral:rRNA from 1 species